ensembl:snoRNA LOC120100379 small nucleolar RNA SNORA21
CCUCUUUUCAAAGCACUCAUCAGUGAGCUUUUGCUAGUGACCCCACUAAGCCAUUGAGAAGGGGCAGAGUGAAAACACCAUUUUUGGGUGAAGUGGCAACAUAUUGCGUUGUUAACUUCAAUCCGUGUUGCAACAAGA